UAGCAGCAUGUCAUCUGAUCCGACUUCAACUGAAGGCUCGCCGACUGAUGCGGAAACAGUUUACCUCGUUUCGCACGGGCCACCAAAGAACAUUUGAAGUUCACAGGCGCCCGGAAGCUCGCCGACCUUCACGAAAGUGUGCGGAUGGGUAGGUUCGCGCACCUGAUGACAUGCAACGAUCUUCUAAUACAGCAUGCUGGAAGCUGCACAGGGGAGUUAGCAAAGGGGCACAAGGAAGCAAUGCCCCGCUGCUGUCCGUAGGGUGAACGCAAGACGGCUCGUGGCGGCCGCAUUGUCUACGCUGCGCUUUUCAUCUCUGAAGCCAUGCGCAGCAGCGUGCAGUCGUCAUGUUCAGAAAAGCAGUGCAAAUACGCCAGGACAGGAGUUUGCCCACCCCACAUUGCUGUACGCUGGUGACAACUGCAUCUCUUCCAAGGCCCUGUGUGUGAAGUGUGUAUAUAUAUGUGUAGCUGUAUUAGACUUCAUUUCCGGUGUAACGGGGUUAUUUUUAUUUUCCAUGUACUGGGGCUUUCAACAUCGAAUACAUCAGCUCUGCGGAGCAGACACUCUCAUUGCUGCAACACAUGAUUGAAAUGAAAACGAAAACGACAAAACUAGGCACCUAGUCCCAACAGCUUUAACAGCACGGUUAACUGCUGCAACUAACAAAAUCACAGCCAGUGCUGAGCAGGCUGAGAAAUCUGACUAAGCUGCUAAAGUCGUCUUGAAAUGCACCUUCCUGUAUGCACUUAGGCUUUUUUGUUUCUUUUUUUAACGCUCAGGCUAUUUUGGUGUUCGUAGCUUUGGAUUAUGCAGCUGAGUAGUACUGCCAAUAGCUAGUGAAACCUCGAAAACUUUAUUGUGUUUAAAUGUUAGUCAUAGUUUUUGUAUUAUGGGGCAUAAAGCAAACACUCACCAAUGAUAUUUUAAAAAAUAAUGAAAUUACAAGAAAUUGUAUUUCGGAGCCAGUAUGGGUCCUUUGUUCACAAAUGACAGCAGAGGCAAUGGUUUGGUUCUGUACGGGUGAGAUGGCAGAGAGCGCAUGCAUAGAUAACAGGCAGAUUAUCGUGUGUCCUUCCUAUCGCUUAGCACGUCAUCUAAAUAUGCAGUGAUUUUAGUAGUAAUUUCAUCGGUAAUGUCGCAGUGGCAAUUAUGGAUGCCUAGUGCUAGUGUAUAGAAGGACCUGUUUUCUCUUUGUGUUCGGAUAAUGCGUGGGAAAUAAGGUUGCUUUUAAAGAGUUAGUGCUUAUCCUGCUUUGGGUGCUUCUUAACGUUGCCAGAUUGACAGUGAAUUACAUUUUUUGCAUGUGAAUAUGUACAUGGAGCCAAGUUAGUUCAAUCUUCCGAAGGGGUCCUUCAUGUACACCAGUUGAUCACAUAGCUUGCUGGAAGGGACAUGUGCCACCCAACCAUUGCAGGCAUUCAACACUCUAGCAAAAGUCUCGCUCAUGCCACAUCAUGCAUACAGGAUGGUAGCACGCUUGCUUUUCUUUCUCACCACUUAGCGGAUGGGCGCUGAGGCAUGAUGUUCUUGCUCACUUGGCAGUUUUAGCGGCUGGCCAUUACAUUGCGUGUCAUUUAGCAUCAAGAUCAACUCUGCUUUUUGCCUUGUAUGACUUGAGCGAAGACCGAAAAGCGAGGUUACUAGUGAUGAGGCGGCCUAGCGUUUGUGGCCCUUGAGGUGUACAGAAAGAACAUCUAGGUAUUUUGAUAUGUGUGGGCUUACGAUGAACCCUGGUGGCAAGGCCAUUGGUGAUUCGUUCCUUGAGAACAUCAGUGGAUGCAGUGUACCUCUUCUCUCAGGCUCUUCGUGUGCUGUAAACUGAUGCUUUCCUUACAAAGUUAAGUGCUUUUUGUGAUUGCUAUAUGUACUCUCGCGAAAAGUCACUGUGAUG